UCCGGUUUGUCACCGGCAGUCUCGCGUGAGUCCCCAACUUAAUGCUGGCAACACGCGACAAGGGUUGCGCUCGUUGCGGGACUUAACCCAACAUCUCACGACACGAGCUGACGGCAGCCAUGCACCACCUGUGAACCUGCUCCGAAGAGAGGACCUGUUUCCAGGCCGGUCAGGCACAUGUCAAGCCCAGGUAAGGUUCUUCGCGUUGCGUCGAAUUAAACCACAUGCUCCGCUGCUUGUGCGGGCCCCCGUCAAUUCCUUUGAGUUUUAGCCUUGCGGCCGUACUCCCCAGGCGGGGCACUUAAUGCGUUAGCUACGGCACGGAACCCGUUGAUAAGGCCCCACACCUAGUGCCCAACGUUUACGGCGUGGACUAC
rnacentral:misc_RNA from 1 species